UGGGGAAUAUUGCACAAUGGGCGGAAGCCUGAUGCAGCGACGCCGCGUGGGGGAUGAAGGCCUUCGGGUUGUAAACUCCUUUCGACAGGGACGAAGCUUUUGUGACGGUACCUGUAUAAGAAGCACCGGCUAACUACGUGCCGGCAGCCGCGGUAAUACGUAGGGUGCGAGCGUUGUCCGGAAUUACUGGGCGCAAAGAGCUCGUAGGUGGUUUGUCGCGUCGUCUGUGAAAUUCCGGGGCUUAACUCCGGGCGUGCAGGCGAUACGGGCUGACUUGAGUGCUGUAGGGGAGACUGGAAUUCCUGGUGUAGCGGUGAAAUGCGCAGAUAUCAGGAGGAACACCGAUGGCGAAGGCAGGUCUCUGGGCAGUAACUGACGCUGAGGAGCGAAAGCAUGGGUAGCGAACAGGAUUAGAUACCCUGGUAGUCCAUGCCGUAAACGGUGGGCGCUAGGUGUAGGGGGCUUCCACGUCUUCUGUGCCGUAGCUAACGCAUUAAGCGCCCCGCCUGGGGAGUACGGCCGCAAGGCUA
rnacentral:rRNA from 1 species